rnacentral:rRNA from 1 species
UACGUAGGGUGCGAGCGUUAAUCGGAAUUACUGGGCGUAAAGCGUGCGCAGGCGGUGAUGUAAGACAGAUGUGAAAUCCCCGGGCUCAACCUGGGAAAUGCAUUUGUGACUGCAUCGCUGGAGUGCGGCAGAGGGGGAUGGAAUUCCGCGUGUAGCAGUGAAAUGCGUAGAUAUGCGGAGGAACACCGAUGGCGAAGGCAAUCCCCUGGGCCUGCACUGACGCUCAUGCACGAAAGCGUGGGGAGCAAACAGG